UGUAGGAGUGAGCCUGCUCGCGAUAGCGUUGUAUCAGUCAGCAUUCAAAUCACUGACAGAUUGCUAUCGCGAGCAGGCUCACUCCUACA
rnacentral:misc_RNA from 1 species